GAUGAACGCUGGCGGCGUGCUUAACACAUGCAAGUCGAACGGUGAAAGAGAGCUUGCUCUCUGGAUCAGUGGCGAACGGGUGAGUAACACGUGAGCAACCUGCCCUUGACUCUGGGAUAAGCACUGGAAACGGUGUCUAAUACCGGAUACGAGCUUCAGUCGCAUGGCUAGGAGCUGGAAAGAAUUUCGGUCAAGGAUGGACUCGCGGCCUAUCAGCUAGUUGGUGAGGUAAUGGCCCACCAAGGCGACGACGGGUAGCCGGCCUGAGAGGGUGACCGGCCACACUGGGACUGAGACACGGCCCAGACUCCUACGGGAGGCAGCAGUGGGGAAUAUUGCACAAUGGGCGCAAGCCUGAUGCAGCAACGCCGCGUGAGGGACGACGGCCU
rnacentral:rRNA from 1 species